rnacentral:rRNA from 1 species
AUUGAACGCUGGCGGCAUGCUUUACACAUGCAAGUCGAACGGUAACAGGCCGCAAGGUGCUGACGAGUGGCGAACGGGUGAGUAAUGCAUCGGAACGUGCCCAGUCGUGGGGGAUAACUACUCGAAAGAGUAGCUAAUACCGCAUACGAUCUAUGGAUGAAAGCGGGGGACCGUAAGGCCUCGCGCGAUUGGAGCGGCCGAUGUCAGAUUAGGUAGUUGGUGGGGUAAAGGCUCACCAAGCCAACGACCUGUAGCUGGUCUGAGAGGACGACCAGCCACACUGGGACUGAGACACGGCCCAGACUCCUACGGGAGGCAGCAGUGGGGAAUUUUGGACAAUGGGCGCAAGCCUGAUCCAGCAAUGCCGCGUGCAGGAAGAAGGCCUUCGGGUUGUAAACUGCUUUUGUACGGAACGAAACGGCUCUGGUUAAUACCCGGGGCUAAUGACGGUACCGUAAGAAUAAGCACCGGCUAACUACGUG